rnacentral:rRNA from 1 species
GAAUCUGCCUAGAGGUCGGGGACAACCAUUGGAAACGAUGGCUAAUACCGGAUAUGCCUUACGGGGUGAAAGAUUAAUUGCCUUUAGAAGAGCUCGCGUCUGAUUAGCUAGUUGGUGAGGUAAGAGCUCACCAAGGCAGCGAUCAGUAGCUGGUCUGAGAGGAUGACCAGCCACACUGGGACUGAGACACGGCCCAGACUCCUACGGGAGGCAGCAGUGGGGAAUUUUCCGCAAUGGGCGAAAGCCUGACGGAGCAAGACCGCGUGAGGGAGGAAGGCUCUUGGGUUGUAAACCUCUUUUGUCAGGGAAGAACAAAAUGACGGUACCUGACGAAUCAGCAUCGGCUAACUCCGUGCCAGCAGCCGCGGUAAUACGGAGGAUGCAAGCGUUAUCCGGAAUUAUUGGGCGUAAAGCGUCCGCAGGUGGCUGAUCAAGUCUGCGGUCAAAGACCGGGGCUUAACCCUGGAAAGGCCGUGGAAACUGAUAGAGCUAGAGUACCGUAGGGGUAGAGGGAAUUCCCGGUGUAGCGGUGAAAUGCGUAGAGAUCGGGAAGAACAUCGGUGGCGAAAGCGCUCUACUGGACGGUGACUGACACUCAGGGACGAAAGCUAGGGGAGCGAAUGGGAUUAGAUACCCCAGUAGUCCUAGCCGUA